rnacentral:rRNA from 1 species
UACGAGGGGGGCAAGCGUUGUUCGGAAUUAUUGGGCGUAAAGCGCGCGUAGGUGGCCUCAUAAGUCCGCUGUGAAAGUCAAAGGCUCAACCUUUGAAAGCCGGUGGAUACUGUGAGGCUAGAGUACGGAAGAGGCGAGUGGAAUUCCUGGUGUAGCGGUGGAAUGCGCAGAUAUCAGGAGGAACACCAAUGGCGAAAGCAGCUUUCUGGGACGGUACUGACGCUGAGACGCGAAAGCGUGGGGAGCGAACAGG